rnacentral:rRNA from 1 species
CCUACGGGAGGCAGCAGUGGGGGAUAUUGCACAAUGGGGGGAACCCUGAUGCAGCGACGCCGCGUGGGUGAAGGAGCGUUUCGGCGCGUAAAGCCCUAUCGGCAGGGAAGAAGAUGACGGUACCUGGCCAAGAAGCACCGGCUAACUACGUGCAAGCAGCCGCGGGAAUACGUAGGGGGCAAGCGUUAUCCGGAUUUACUGGGGGUAAAGGGGGCGCAGACGGCAAGGCAAGCCAGGAGUGAAGGCCCGGGGCGCAACCCCGGGACUGCUCUUGGAACUGCAUGGAUGGAGUACAGGAGGGGCAGGCGGAAGUCCUAGUGUAGCGGUGAAAUGCGUAGAGAUUAGGAGGAACACCGGUGGCGAAGGCGGCCUGCUGGACUGUGACUGACGUUGAGGCCCGAAGGCGUGGGGAGCAAACAGGAUUAGAUACCCUUGUAGUC